rnacentral:rRNA from 1 species
UACGCGUGCUCCAAGCGUUAUCCGGAAUUACUGGGCGUAAAGGGUGUGUAGGCGGUUUUGUUUGUCAGUUGUUAAAGCCCCGGGCUUAACCCGGGAAGUGCAAUUGAAACGGCAAAUCUAGAGGAUGCGAGAGGUGAACAGAACUCAUGGUGUAGGGGUGAAAUCCGUUGAUAUCAUGGGGAAUACCAAAUGCGAAGGCAGUUCACUGGCGCACUCCUGACGCUGAAACACGAAAGCGUGGGUAGCGAAUGGG